rnacentral:rRNA from 1 species
UAGGGGAGCGUUCUGUAAGCCUGCGAAGGUGUGCUGUGAGGCAUGCUGGAGGUAUCAGAAGUGCGAAUGCUGACAUAAGCAACGAUAAAGCGGGUGAAAAGCCCGCUCGCCGGAAGACCAAGGGUUCCUGUCCAACGGUAAUCGGGGCAGGGUGAGUCGACCCCUAAGGCGAGGCCGAAAGGCGUAGUCGAUGGGAAACAGGGUAAUAUUCCUGUACUUGGUGUUACUGCGAAGGGGGGACGGAGAAGGCUAUGUUAGCCGGGCGACGGUUGUCCCGGUUUAAGCAUGUAGGCUGGUUAUCC